AGCAAAACACAAGCCUAGACAUGGAUAAAAUAGAGGAUAUUAGAAAACCCAUAAACAUAGAGAGCACUUUAAGCGUUGAACCAUUCCCUCCUUCAUUGCCUAAGAAGAUAACGAGCCCUUCAACGGUUUGAGCUUUCUGGCGUUGAGCCACCCGGCGAGGAAAGUAGAACUAACAUCAACUGGGACGCUGGAUGACAUAAGAACCUACUACCAUUAGCUUUUCUAAUCCCUACCAGUUACCAUCCUUGACUAAACAAGCCAUCGCUUCUUAGAUUUUGCCAUGGCAAACCCCCCAACCAGAUUUUUUCUUCAAACAUUCUACAUGUAGACCCCAAGAUUUAGCAAAUAAGACAAAAAAUAAAACUAUGAACAACCAAAUUGGAAAAGGGAAAGUCUA
rnacentral:misc_RNA from 1 species